rnacentral:rRNA from 1 species
UACGGGGGGGGCAAGCGUUGUUCGGAAUUACUGGGCGUAAAGGGCUCGUAGGCGGCCAACUAAGUCAUACGUGAAAUCCCUCGGCUUAACCGGGGAACUGCGUCUGAUACUGGAUGGCUUGAGGUUGGGAGAGGGAUGCGGAAUUCCAGGUGUAGCGGUGAAAUGCGUAGAUAUCUGGAGGAACACCGGUGGCGAAGGCGGCAUCCUGGACCAACACUGACACUGAGGAGCGAAAGCCAGGGGAGCAAACGGG